CGAGUGAACUUAAGUACUGCC
rnacentral:siRNA from 1 species